rnacentral:rRNA from 1 species
CACGUAGGGGGCGAGCGUUGUCCGGAUUUAUUGGGCGUAAAGAGCUCGUAGGCGGCUAAGUAAGUCAGGUGUGAAAACUCCAGGCUCAACCUGGAGACGCCACCUGAUACUGCUUUGGCUAGAGUCCGGUAGGGGAGCAUGGAAUUCCUGGUGUAGCGGUGAAAUGCGCAGAUAUCAGGAGGAACACCAGUGGCGAAGGCGGUGCUCUGGGCCGGAACUGACGCUGAGGAGCGAAAGCAUGGGGAGCGAACAGG